ACGCUCGACACCUACGAGAGGCAGCAGUUGGGAAUAUUGGACAAUGGAGGAAACUCUGAUCCAGUGACGCCGCGUGAAGGAAGAAGGUCUUCGGAUUGUAAACUUAUUUUGUCAGGGAAGAAAAAAUGACUGUACCUGAAGAAAAAGCACCGGCUAACUACGUGUCAGCAGCCGCGGUAAUCUGAGCGGGCUGGCAAGGC
rnacentral:rRNA from 1 species